UGCACUAUACAAUAGAAAUAAAUAUCUUAUUCGUUCUAGAUCUAUAGAAGUUAUAUUAAUUUUUUUUUCAGGCCUCGACUCUUCCCUUUCUCUUCAGUCAAGGAAGCAGUCACUUUUUGCCAGACUGGAAAAUAUUAUUGUUACAGAUGUUGAUCCUAAGACAGUUCAUAACAAAGCUGUGUCAAUAAUGGGAAAUGAAGUUUUUCGUUUUAACUUGGAUUUGUACCCAGAUGCGACUGAAGGGGAUUCAUACACUGACAUGUCCAAAGUGGAUGGCGUGGUGUUGCUGAAUGUUGGCUGCAUUCAGAUUGUCUAUCUUCAUAAGUUCCUUGUGUCCCUUUUGAACUUCCUGAACAAUUUCCAGACAGCCAAAGAGGCCCUGAGCGCAGCCACCGCGCAGGCUGCAGAAAAGGCCGCCACCAGUGUGAAAGACCUUGCCCAGCGGAGUUUGCGCUUCUCUGUCAGCAUUAAUUUGAAAGCACCCGUUAUUGUCAUCCCACAGUCUUCUGUUUCCAGCAACGCUGUUGUGGUGGACCUUGGUUUGAUCAGAGUUCAGAACCAGUUCAGUCUUGUGUCUGGGGAAGGGUCUGUAAAUCCUCCUGUGAUUGAUAGAAUGGAUGUGCAGCUCACGGACCUGAAGCUGUCCAGGACAGUAAUCCAACCAGGCACCUCCCAGCCUGAUAUUCAGCUGUUGCACCCAAUUAACUUUGAGUUUUUUGUAAAUCGAAAUCUCGCUGCAAAUUGGUAUCAUAAGGUACCUGUUGUGGAAAUUAAAGGACAUCUUGAUACAAUGAAUGUUUGUCUAAAUCAAGAAGAUCUUAAUGUUUUGUUUAGAAUACUGUCGGAAAAUCUUGGUGAAACUCCUGAAGAGUUAGAUAACGUGAAACCAAGAGUACCAGAGACAGGUGAAAUCAAAGAUGCCCCUGAAAUUUCUACAUCACAGAGAUUACAAGCUUCAAAAGAUGCUUCAAGAGCUGAAAGAGAAGAAAUUAGAUCUGUAAACAUUGUUAAUGUACUGCUGAAUUUUGAAAUUAAAGAGGUUAUGGUGAUGCUGAUGAAAAAGGCGGAAAAGAGUGGGAGGCCAGUGCACGAGCUCAGUGUCCUGCAGCUUGGAGUGGAAGCUAGAGUUCAAGCUUAUGCCGUGACUGCUGAAGCUUAUCUCCAGCAAGUCAGCAUGCGGUGCCUGGAUUUCACUGAUGCAGAAGGAGGCCCUCUGCACAUCGUGCGCUCCUCUUGUGUGACUAAGGAGCCGCUCCUGAAGUUGGCCUUGACCAAGGCAGACAGUGAUGGACCGGAAUUUAAAACUGUUCAUGACAAUACCAAACAGAGACUAAAGGUUUCAUUUUCAUCCUUAGACAUAUUACUUCAUUUAGAAGCUUUACUUUCCCUUAUGGAUUUUUUGUCAUCGGCCGUUCCAUCCUCUGAGUCGUCUUCUAGGAAGGAAUCUGAGCUAAAACCACUUGUAGGGGAGUCCAGAAGUAUUGCCAUCAAAGCUGUAUCUGGCACCAUUUCUAAAGAGGAUAUGUUCGAUUUAAAGGUUACAGCUGAAUUAGAUGCUAUUAAUGUUGUUGUCUGUGAUCAGAAGUGUUCUAUAGCUGAUGUUAAAAUACAUGGAAUGGACGCCUCUGUUUCUGUGAAGCCAAAACAGACUGAUAUGUUUGCCAGACUUCAGAAUAUCAUAGUAACAAAUGUUGAUUUGAAGUCCAUUCACAAAAAGGCUGUCUCCAUCUUGGGAGAGGAAGUCUUCCGGUUCCAGAUGACUCUGUAUCCAGACGCCACAGAAGGAGAAGCCUAUGCCGACGUGUCUAAAGUAGAUGGCAGACUUAGUCUCAAAGUGGGUUGUAUUCAGAUCGUUUACGUUCAUAAAUUCUUCAUGUCUCUGUUGAAUUUCCUCAACAACUUCCAAGCUGCCAAGGAAGCUUUGAGCAUGGCUACCAUGCAGGCUGCAGAGAGAGCUGCUUCUAGUGUGAGGGACUUGGCCCAGAAGAGCUUCCGCCUUGCGAUGGAUGUGGACCUGAAAGCACCGGUUAUUAUUAUCCCUCAGUCUUCAGUGUCGUCCAACGCUGUGGUGGCAGAUCUCGGCUUAAUCAGCGUGGAAAACAGCUUUAGUUUGCUUCCUGCAGAACGUUACCCUUUCCCUCCAGUCAUUGAUAAAAUGAAGGUCCAACUCACUCAAUUGAAGCUGUCCAGAACUAUCUUGCAAGCUGACUUGCCACAGGAUGACAUUGAAAUCUUAAAACCAGUAAACAUGCUUUUGUCUAUACAACGAAACUUAUCAGCAACCUGGUACAUGGAAAUUCCCGGGAUCGAGAUAAAAGGAAAGUUAAAACCUAUGCAGGUUGCUCUCAGUGAAGAUGACCUAACAGUUCUAAUGAAAAUUUUGCUGGAAAAUGUUGGGGAAGCUUCUCCACAGCCAAGCCCUGCACUGUCUGCUCAGGAGGCUGUGAGAGUGAGGAAAGAUAUUCCAAGUGGACCAGACUACCUGAGAGAACAAGAAGAUUUGACAGACUUCUUUGGACCAGACCGUCACACUCCAAUUUGACUUUCAUUUUGCAUCUCUGUCCAUUAUCCUUUAUAACAGUGACGUCAGUCAGGAGUCCAAACUUGCAUUUCGUAAUGAUAGUUUUCGUCUCGGUGAGCUCAGACUGUACCUGAUGGCCUCUGCAGGGAAGAUGUUCAAGGAUGGCUCAGUGAAUGUCAGCCUUAAGCUGAAGACAUGCACGCUUGAUGACCUCAGAUAAGGCAUCGAGAGAGCCACGUCCAGGUCUGUCAGUUCGCAGGGUGCUGGAUGCCACUCACGGCUAACCCUGAACCUGGCAUCACUGCAGGCUUUGCUGUGCUUGGGUUCUUCAAAAAAUAUUUGUGUCUUUUUGGUCAGACCUUUAAUCUGAAUUGCAUCAAGAAGUAAUGCUAAUAUCAGAUUCAGCUGCUGGGAUGGUUAUAUUAAAUGAAAGUUUAU
rnacentral:lncRNA from 1 species